rnacentral:rRNA from 1 species
CCUACGGGCGGCAGCAGUGGGGAAUAUUGGACAAUGGGGGGAACCCUGAUCCGGCCAUGCCGCGUGUGUGAAGAAGGCCCUCGGGUUGUAAAGCACUUUCAGUGAGGAAGAACGCCUGGUGGUUAAUACCCAUCAGGAAAGACAUCACUCACAGAAGAAGCACCGGCUAACUCCGUGCCAGCAGCCGCGGUAAUACGGAGGGUGCGAGCGUUAAUCGGAAUUACUGGGCGUAAAGCGCGCGUAGGUGGCUUGAUAAGCCGGUUGUGAAAGCCCCGGGCUCAACCUGGGAACGGCAUCCGGAACUGUCAAGCUAGAGUGCAGGAGAGGAAGGUAGAAUUCCAGGUGUAGCGGUGAAAUGCGUAGAGAUCGGGAGGAAUACCAGUGGCGAAGGCGGCCUUCUGGACUGACACUGACACUGAGGUGCGAAAGCGUGGGUAGCAAACAGGAUUAGAUACCCCGGUAGUC